rnacentral:rRNA from 1 species
AUUGAACGCUGGCGGCAGGCUUAACACAUGCAAGUCGAACGAGUGGCGGACGGGUGAGUAAUGCUUGGGAAUCUGGCUUAUGGAGGGGGAUAACGACGGGGAAAUGUCGCUAAUACCGCGUACCCUAGGAUUAGCACACGUGUGAUUCGGUAGUUGGUGGGGUAAUGGCCUAACAAGCCGACGAUCGCUAGCUGGUCUGGGAGGAUGACCAGCCACACCGGUACGGAUACACUGCCCGUACUCCUACGGGAGGCAGCGUUGGGGAAUAUUGGGCAAUGGGGGCAACCGGACGCAGCCAUGCCGCGUGAAGGAAGAAGGCCUGCGGGUGUUAAAGUGCUUUCGGUGAGGAGGCGUUAAUCACAGAAGAAGCACCGGCUAACUCCGUGCCAGCAGCCGCGGUAAUUC